rnacentral:rRNA from 1 species
GUUAAAAAGCUCGUAGUUGGAUUUCUGUUGAGGAUGACCGGUCCGCUCUUUGAGCGCGUAUCUGGUUCAGCCUUGGCAUCCUCUUGGGGAACGCUACUGUGCUUGAUUGCAUGGGGCGGUAUUCAAGACUUUUACUUUGAGGAAAUUAGAGUGUUCACUGCAAGCGUUAGCAAUUGAAUACAUUAGCAUGGAAUAAUAAUAUAGGACCUUGGUACUAUUUUGUUGGUUUCUAGAACUAAGGUAAUGAUUAAUAGGGACAAUUGGGGGCAUUCGUAUUAACGCGUCAGAGGUGGAAUUCUUAGAUUGCGUUACGACGAACUACUGCGAAAGCAUUUGCCAAGGAUGUUUUCAUUGAUCAAGAACGAAAGUAUGGGGAUCGAAGACGCUUAGAUACCGUCGUAGUCUAUACCAUAAACUAUGCCAACUAGAGAUUGGAGGUCGUUCUCUUUAUGACUCCUUCAGCACCUUAUGAGAAAUCAAAGUCUUUGGGUUCCGGGGGGAGUAUGGUCGCAAGGCUGAAACUUAAAGGAAUUGACGGAAGGGCACCACCAGGAGUGGAGCCUGCGGCUUAAUUUGACUCAACACGGG